GGGUCCUUAGCUCAGUGGUAGAGCAUUUGACUGCAGAUCAAGAGGUCACCGGUUCAAACCCGUUAGGGCCCU
rnacentral:tRNA from 1 species